CCCCCACGCCCCCACGCCCGGCAGUCCGGGCGCGCGCGGACGGCGGGGCAGUGCCUACUACGCAGGCGCGCGCUGCGGGCGUCAGGACCCAGCAGCAACACUGCCACGCGAAUCCGCGCCGGCCAAUCAGCAUGGCCAGGGGCGGGGCUUCCCUGAGGCGCGCCGAGAGGCGGUGGCCCACUUCCGGCAAUAAUCGCCUGGUCGCCGUCAGGUGCCGGCCCAGGUGGCAGGCGCGCCCGUUGGGCACUGGGGGACGCGGGCGCGUCAGGUGAAGACUGGGGGCUGCAGGCGCGCUAGGAGAACUAUGCCAUGUUUGGGUCAGGACUGGAGAUCUCCUGGAUGGAGUUGGAUUAAGACAGAAGAUGGCUGGAAGAGAUGUGAAUCGUGUAGUCAGAAACUUGAAAGAGAGAAUAACCAUUGUAACAUCAGUCACAGCAUUAUCUUAAAUAGCGAAGAUGGAGAAAUAUUCAAUAAUGAAGAGCAUGAAUAUGCAUCCAAAAAAAGGAAAAAGGACCAUUUUAGAAAUGACACAAAUACUCAAAGUUUUUAUCGUGAAAAAUGGAUCUAUGUCCAUAAAGAAAGCACAAAAGAAAGGCAUGGCUAUUGCACCUUGGGAGAAGCCUUUAAUCGGUUAGACUUCUCAAGUGCAAUUCAAGAUACCCGAAGGUUCAAUUAUGUGGUCAAAGUCUGAAGGCCAGAAUUCUACAGUAAGUCCUACUGAGUCAAGGUGAGAGCAGGGUCGGUGGCUUCUGAGGCUCUGCGGGAGAAUCUGUUUCCUGGCCGUAGAGGUGGCCUGCACUCCUCAGCUUGUGCUGCCCAUCUCGAAUGACUGGAGUUUCCUGCUUCUGUCACUACACCUCCCACCCUCUCCAUCACCUGCUCUGCUCUUAUAAGGAUCCGAAGAAAUGGAAUCGUCGUAUCGCUGAUCUACGUAAACAAACUGAAGAAUUGUCUGAAAGAAAAUAUGACAUGAACUUAUGAAUUCAACAGGUGAAGAUUUACAACUUGAUAAAUCAGCUUUGUGAGCUCAAGCUGUAAAAGCCAAAGGUCCGGUGAUAAUCCCAUACCCUUUUUUCCAGUCUCAUGUUGAAGAUUUUUAUGUAGAAGGCCUUCCCAAAGGAAUUUUUUUUUUUGUUUUUUUUUUUUGAGAUGGAGUUUUCACUCUUAUCGCCCAGGCUGGGGUGCAAUGGUGCAACCUUGCUGGUCACUGCAACCUCUGCCUCCUGGGUUCAAGAAAUUCUCCUGCCUUAGCCUCCCAAGUCGCUGGGAUUACAGGUGCCCACCACCACACCAGGCUAAUUUUUGUAUUUUUAGUGGAGAUGGGGUUUCACCAUGUUGGCCGGGCCAGUCUUGAACUCCUGACGUCAAGUGAUCUUCCCGCCUCGACUCCUGACAUCAAGUGAUCUUCCCGCCUCGGCCUUCCAGAGUGCUGAGAUUACAGAUGUGAACCCAUGCCUGGCCAGGAAUUUUGUUUUUUAGGAAGGCUUUCUACUAAUGGAAUUCCUGGCCUUGAGAGGAUGUUACUUUCGAAGGAAAGGAUUUUUUUGUUAUUAAAAGAAACAGGACCUUGCCCUGUCACUCAGGAUGGAGUUCAGUGGUCCUAUCAUGGCUCAUUAUAGCCUCAAACUCCCAGGCUGAAGCAAUCCUACCAUGUCAGCCUUCCCGUAGCUGGGACUACAGAGACGAGGUUUCGCCGUGUUUCCCAGACUGUUCUCAAGCUCCUGAGCUCAAAGCAGUCCACCCACCUUGGCCUCCCAGAGUGCUGGAAUUACAGGAAGUGAGCUCACAAUGACUCAAGCUGCCACAUACUGUUGAUUGUGAAAUGCCAGUUGAAGCAUAUGUCCUGUGAGCUUAGGGGUGCUACAAGUUGACCACUGCAGCAGUAAAGAUGACUCUGAAGAAUGGCGUGGGAUGGAUCCUUUCAAAUGCACUUGAGCAGCGGUCUCCAACCACAGGGCCACAGAGCUGGAGCUGGAUCUACCAUGAAGGACUUCUGAAUCCAGGAAGAGAGACUGACUGGGCAACAUGUUAUUCAGGUGGGACCAUCCAGUUUCAGGAAAACAAGCUUAAUACGCCCACUGAUUCUACAUUAUGCUCCUACCUCCCGGCAGCCUCGCCAGGCCCAGAACUCUCUCCAGUCAGCCUCUACAGACCAAGCUCAUGACUCACAAUGGCCUAUUUAGGCCCAUACCCUACCUCACGGCAGUCUCCGCAGAUGAGCCUACUGCCUCACAACAGCCUCCACAGGCACAGCUCCAUCGUUACAAUGGCCUCUUUAGACCCAGCUCCUGCCUCCCAGCCUUCUCUCCAGGCCCUGAACUUUCUCCGUGGGACCAUCCAGUUUCAGGAAAACAAGCUUAACACGCCCACUGAUUCUACAUUAUGCUCCUACCUCCCGGCAGCCUCGCCAGGCCCAGAACUCUCUCCAGUCAGCCUCUACAGACCAAGCUCAUGACUCACAAUGGCCUAUUUAGGCCCAUACCCUACCUCACGGCAGUCUCCGCAGAUGAGCCUACUGCCUCACAACAGCCUCCACAGGCACAGCUCCAUCGUUACAAUGGCCUCUUUAGACCCAGCUCCUGCCUCCCAGCCUUCUCUCCAGGCCCUGAACUUUCUCCGUGGGACCAUCCAGUUUCAGGAAAACAAGCUUAACACGCCCACUGAUUCUACAUUAUGCUCCUACCUCCCGGCAGCCUCGCCAGGCCCAGAACUCUCUCCAGUCAGCCUCUACAGACCAAGCUCAUGACUCACAAUGGCCUAUUUAGGCCCAUACCCUACCUCACGGCUGUCUCCGCAGAUGAGCCUACUGCCUCACAACAGCCUCCACAGGCACAGCUCCAUCGUUACAAUGGCCUCUUUAGACCCAGCUCCUGCCGCCCAGCCUUCUCUCCAGGCCCUGAACUUUCUCUGGUCUCCCUCUGUUGUCCGAGGCUGGAGGGUAGUAGUGCUAUCGCAGCUGACUGCAGCCUCAACCUUCCAGGCUGAAGCAAUCCUCCCAUCUCAACCUUCCACGUGGCUGAGACUACAGGUGCUUGCCACUAUGCCCAACUAAUAUUUGGUAUUUUCGUAUACGUGGAUUCCAGAGGGGUGACAGCGAAACGUGGGACCAUCCAGUUUCAGGAAAACAAGCUUAACACGCCCACUGAUUCUACAUUAUGAUUCUUCAGGCCCAGCAUCUGCCUCACUGUGGACCCCCCAAGCCAAGCUCCCAACCUUUCAGCAGCUUCUACACAUCCAGCUCCCGCCUGCCAGUGGCCUCUUCAGGCCCAUGGGGCUCAUUCCUCACAACAGCCUUUCCAGUCCCAGUUUUUCCCUUCCGGCGGCCUCUCCGGGCUGAGAACCUCCUCAAGUCGGCCUCUCCAGACUCACUUGCACCCUCCAGGCGUCCUCUCCGGGCCAAGCUCCUCUUCCUGGCUGCGUCUCCAGGCCUGACUCCUGCCUCUCAACAACCUCUUUGGACUCAGUGCCUACCCAUCUCCUGGCGUCCUUGGUCGGCCCACAGCUUCCUCAAGCCAAGCUCCCCAGGCCCAGGUCAGGCCUCACGGUGCCCCCUCCACGAUGAGCUCCUGCCCUCCAAUGGCACCUGCAGGACCCAAAUGGUCUCCGGUCGGUGGGCUCCUCCACGCCAAGCUUGGGCCUCCCGGUGACCUCUGCAGGCCCAAGUUGUCCUGAAGUCGGCAUCUCCCAGCCAUGCCUCCCAGCAAGUAAGCAAGCUCUUUUGGCUCAACUCCUGCCCAGCUCCCAACCGCCUUUGUAGGUCCCGCACUUUCUCCAGCCAAGUUCUUUGGGCCUCAUUCCUGCCGCCCGGUGGCCUGUACGGGCCCAGCAAUGGUUGGAGAACGGCCUCUGCAGGUCCCGCUCUUGCCUCCCAGGGGCCUCUCCAGGCCCAGCUCUUGCCCCCACGGCGGCCACCUGGGGCCAAGUCCCUGCCUGCCUCCCAGCAGCCCGCAUGCGGUCCAGCUCCUCCCUCACGGUGGCCUGUUGAUGCCCAUGCCUCUGGUACCCUGCCCAGAGGCAUGAGCCCCUGCCACACACUGGCUCCUCCCACGCUGAGAGAGGUCAGCGUGAGCCCUUGCCUCACACCGGCCCCUCCCAUGCUGAGAGAGGUCAGUGUGAGCCCCUUGCCUCACACCGGCCCCUCCCACGCUGAGAGAGGUCGGCGUGAGCCCUUGCCUCACACCGGCCCCUCCCACAGUGAGAGAGGUCAGCGUCAGCCCCUUGCCUCACACCGGCCCCUCCCACGCUGAGAGAGGUCGGCGUGAGCCCCUUGCCUCACACCGGCCCCUCCCACGCUGAGAGAGGUCAGCCUGAUCCCUUGUCUCACACCGGCCCCUCCCACGCUGAGGGAGGUCAGCGUGAGCCCUUGCCUCACACCGGCCCCUCCCACGCUGAGAGAGGUCGGCGUGAGCCCUUGCCUCACACCGGCCCCUCCCACGCUGAGAGAGGUCAGCGUGAGCCCCUUGCCUCACACCGGCCCCUCCCACGCUGAGAGAGGUCGGCGUGAGCCCUUGCCUCACACUGGCCCCUCCCACGCUGAGAGAGGUCAACAUGAGCCCCUUGCCUCCCACCGGCCCCUCCCACGCUGAGAGAGGUCGGCGUGAGCCCUUGCCUCACACCGGCCCCUCCCACGCUGAGAGAGGUCAACAUGAGCCCCUUGCCUCACACCGGCCCCUCCCACGCUGAGAGAGGUCAACAUGAGCCCCUUGCCUCACACCGGCCCCUCCCACGCUGAGAGAGGUCAGCGUGAGCCCUUGCCUCACACCGGCCCCUCCCACGCUGAGAGAGGUCAGCGUGAGCCCCUUGCCUCACCCCGGCCCCUCCCACGCUGAGAGAGGUCGGCGUGAGCCCUUGCCUCACACCGGCCCCUCCCACGCUGAGAGAGGUCGGCGUGAGCCCCUUGCCUCACACCGGCCCCUCCCACACUGAGAGAGGUCGGCGUGAGCCCUUGCCUCACACCGGCCCCUCCCACGGUGAGAGAGGUCAGCGUCAGCCCCUUGCCUCACACCGGCCCCUCCCACGCUGAGAGAGGUCGGCGUGAGCCCUUGCCUCACACCGGCCCCUCCCACGGUGAGAGAGGUCAGCGUGAGCCCCUGCCUCAACAGGCCACCGUGAGGGAGGAGCAGGGUCGCACGCGGGCUGCUGUGAGGCAGGCAGCGACUUGGGCCUGGGAGGUCGUGGUGGGGUGAGAGCUGGGCUUGGAGACUCCCCUGGGAGGCAACAGCGGGGCCUACAGACUCUGUUCUCCAGCCGGAGCUGGGACUGUUCAGGUACUGGGAGGUGGGAUGUGGGUCUGAAGAGCUUGGUUGCAGAAACUUCGGGGUCUACAAACGCAGGCGGGAGCUGAGCCAAAAAAGCUUGUUUGCUGGGAGGCGGGAGAUGCAGCCAGGAGAAACAGCUGUGCCUGCAGAGGCCGCCAUGCGGGAGGCGGAGGCCGGGCCUCCUCAAAUCGGCCUCUCCAGACCCACUUGCAGCCUCCCGGCAUCCUCUCCGGGCUCAGCUCUUCCUCCCGGCUGCGUCUCCAGGCCUGAGUCUGGCCUCCCAACAACGUCUUUGGACUCAGCUCCUGCCCAGCUCCCAGCAGGCCCAAGUUGUCGUCAAGUCGGCCUGGAAUUGGGCCCGGAAGAGCAGCAAGUCGGCCUCCCCUGGCCCAGCUCCGUCCUCUCGGCGGCCUCUCCAGGUGCAAAACUUCCUCGAGUCAGCCUCUCCAGGCCCAGCUCCUCCUGCCUCCCAGUGGCCUCUUUCAGCCCAGACCAGCUCAUGGCUCUUGGCGGCCUUCCCAGGCCCCGCUUUUGACUUUUGGUGGCCUCUUCAGGCCCAGAACUUGACCUCCAGUGGGCCUUUGCAGGCCCGGCCUCCUGCCUCUCGAAGGCCUGCACGGGCCCGGACUCACAGCGGACUCACAGUGGACUCUCCAUGCCCAGCUAGCUCUCGCCUCAUUGCGGCCUCCCGAGUCCAAAGCUCCUGCCUCUCGGCCGCUUCGGCAGGCCCAGCUCCCGCCUGCCAGUGGCCUCUUUAGGCCCAGCUCAUUCCUCACAACGGCCUUCCCAGGCCCCGUUUUUCCCUUCCGGCAGCCUCUUGGCCUCUAAUUUGUUUAUCUUUUGUGUAUAAAUCCCAAAAUAUUGAAUUUUGGAAUAUUUCCACCAUUAUGUAAAUAUUUUGGUAGGUGAUUUAUUUGGGGUGAGUUUCUGCACCAAGCCCGAAUUUUUUAUUUUAUUUUCCUUAUUAUUUGGUGUUAAACAGGUUUAAUGACGGUCAUGGCAACUGUUUGGCACAAUGAAAAAUAUCGCCCAUGAUCAACGUGUUCUGUUCUGGGGAAGGGGGCAAAGGCAGGGUGAAUCACUUUCUUAAAAAGUAUAGCUCAAGUUGGGAGUGCAGAGGGAAUGGGGAGAAAACCCUCCCGCUGCCUGUGUCGAAGUGCAGGAGCCCCCACCCCCAUACUCACCUGAGUCCAGCCCCUCUGGGGAAAGAAGGGGUGCAUGAACUCCCCCUAGUCCACAGGCACCUCCCUGUGGCCCAAGGCCCUCUUCACACUCCAUCUUGUAGCCCCAACAGGAGCUAUUUUCCGAAAAGUGAAAAGCUCUGAAGGUCCCACAAUUCAUGGUAUGUACACCUCCCUCACCAGGGGCUGCAAAGUGGCCUGGAGCUCCAUACUGAGUAGAAGUCUUUGGGCCAGAGUCAGCAUCUGGCUGACGGUCCGGAUAUCCUGGUUGGAGUGACCCUGGUGCGCCCUGCCAGGGCCUGGUGCCGCUUGCUGAAGAUCAUGACCGCCACUCAUGGGCCACCGAUGUGGUCCUUGUCCCAUUUGUUGGGGCUGCGUCCAUCCUUCUCAGAAGAUGAGUCCUGUUCCUUGCGCAGGGCACUGAGGGACUGGGCCUGACAUCAUCUGAGUGGUAGAGGCAACUGGGUGUCAGGAGACAUGAUGGAGAGGAAAGCAUCAUCAUGGUCAUUCUCUGUCUCACUGUCCAGCAGGGACUCCCCUGAGGGGCCCAGGGCUCCUCCUCCAUGGUGGGAGGUGAGCUUUUAACAGGUUCCACCACCCCCAAAGUGUGUGGGGUUGCGGGCCCUGGGCUUUCAGGGCAGGUGGCUCCAGGGGGCCGCCCAGGGUCGACGCUCCCUGUGCCACCUGGUGGAUGCUCAUGAGCAACAGCUGCCAACUUGGCAGAUUGUUUUCUCUGGUUGGAGGCCACUGAGUAACUGGCAGGUUGCUGGGCCUCAUGUGGCUGCAGGGAGGGGUCAGGAAGGGGAUGGAGUACCAGGGGAACACGGCCACCGAGUGACCUUCCACAUUCCUCCACACGAACAUGCUGACGCCACGGGAGGCCUCACUGAAUGCAGGCCUGGGGGCCGAGUACUUGGUCCGGGCAGGGAGUUCCUGGCAGGGGCUCACACCUCACCCCCUCCUCAGCCCAGGUGGCUUGGGCCCAGAGAAGUGGGGGUUGGAGAGGAGCAGAAGACCAGGCCUCAAGUUUUGUUUUUUUUGUUUGUUUUUUUGUUUUUGAAAUGUAGUUUGACUCUUGUCACCCAGGCUGGAGUGCAGUGGCACGAUCUCAGUGGCCUUCAUACCUGGCUAAUUUUUUGUAUUUUUACUGGGGGUGGGGUUUUGCCAUGUUGGCCAGGCUGGUCUUGACCUCCCGACCUCAGGUGAUCCACCCACCUCAGCCUCCCAAAAUGGGAUUACGGGCAUGAGCCACUGCUCCCAACUUCAUUCAUUUUUACUUGAAAAACUCCGUUAAGCAUUUUUUUAAGGUAGACCUAGUGGUCCUGAAUGCCCUCAGCUUUGUUUGUCGAGGAAGCACGUUAUUUCUUUUUUCUUUCUGAAGGACAGCUUUGUCAGACAUAGUAUUAGUUGCUGGCACUUUUUUUCUUUCAGCACUUUGAAUGUAUUAUUCGAUUCUGUCCUGACCUGCAAAGUUUCUUUAACUUUUGACUAUUUGAUUAUAUUGUGACUUGGUGAGUAUCUAUUUGGUUUGAACCUCUUCAGGAAUCUUUAAGCUUCAUGGAUUUAGAUGUCUAAAUCUUUCCCAUGAUUUAGGCAGUCUUCAGCCAUUCUUUAAAUAAGCUUUCUUCUCCUUUCUCUACUUUCCUUUUCAAACUCCCAUAACCUGACAAUGGGUUGCCUAAUGGUGUCUUGUUGGCUUUCUUUUCUCUGUCUUUUUUUCUUUUUUUUUUUUUUGAGACAGAGUCAUGCUCUGUCACCCAGGCUGGAGUGCAAUGUGUGGUCUAGGCUCACUAGGGUUAGGGUUAGGGUUUUAGGGUAAGGGCGAAGGGUUAGGGUUUUAGGGUAAGGGCGAAGGGUUAGGGUUUUAGGGUCAGGGCCCAGGGUUAGGGUUUUAGGGUCAGGGCCCAGGGUUAGGGUUUUAGGGUCAGGGCCCAGGGUUAGGGUUUUAGGGACAGGGCCCAGCAUUAGGGUUUUAGGGUCAGGGCCCAGGGCCCAGGGUUAGGGUUUUAGGGUCAGUGCUUGGGGCCCAGGGUUAGGGCUUUAGGGCCAGGGCCCGGGGCCAGGGUUAGGGAUUUAGGGCCAGGGCCCAGGGCCCACGGUUAGGGCUUUACGGCCAGGGCCCGGGGCCCAGGGUUAGGGCUUUAGGGUCAGAGCCCGGGGCCCAGGGUUAGGGCUUCAGGGUCAGAGCCCGGGGCCCAGGGUUAGGGCUUCAGGGUCAGGGCCCGAGGCCCAGGGUUAGGGCUUCAGGGUCAGAGCCCGGGGCCCAGGGUUAGGGCUUCAGGGUCAGGGCCCGAGGCCCAGGGUUAGGGCUUCAGGGCCAGGGCCCGGGGCCCAGUGUUAGGGCUUCAGGGUCAGGGCCCGGGGCCCAGGGUUAGGGCUUCAGGGUCAGGGCCCGGGGCCCAGGGUUAGGGCCUCAGGGUCAGGGCCCGGGGCCCAGGGUUAGGGCUUCAGGGUCAGGGCCGGGGCCCAGGGUUUGGGCUUCAGGGUCAGGGCCCGGGGCCGGGGUUUGGGCUUCAGGGUCAGGGCCCGGGGCCCAGGGUUAGGGCUUCAGGGUCAGGGCCCGGGGCCCAGGGUUAGGGCUUCAGGGUCAGGGCCCGGGGCCCAGGGUUAGGGCUUCAGGGCCAGGGCCCGGGGCCCAGGGUUAGGGCUUCAGGGUCCGGGCCCGGGGCCCAGGGUUAGGGCUUCAGGGUCAGGGACCGGGGCCCAGGGUUAGGGUUUUAGGGUCAGGGCCCGGGGCCCAGGGUUAGGGUUUUAGGGUCAGGGCCCGGGGCCCAGGGUUAGGGUGAUUUCCAGGAAGUGACCUCACAGUGACUCAAGCUACCACUUACUGUUGAUUGUGAUGAAAUGCCAGCUGAGGCACAUGCCUUGGGGGCUAAUUGCUUGCUGCCCUUGACUACUAUGAAGACUGGUGUGGGAAGGGUCGCUUUGGAUGCACUUGAGCAGGGGUCCCCAACCCCUGAGCCAUGGAGCCGUAAGGAGCCACACAGCAGGUGGGACCAUCCAGUUUCAGGAAAACAAGCUUAACACGCCCACUGAUUCUACAUUAUGCUCCUACCUCCCGGCAGCCUCGCCAGGCCCAGAACUCUCUCCAGUCAGCCUCUACAGACCAAGCUCAUGACUCACAAUGGCCUAUUUAGGCCCAUACCCUACCUCACGGCAGUCUCCGCAGAUGAGCCUACUGCCUCACAACAGCCUCCACAGGCACAGCUCCAUCGUUACAAUGGCCUCUUUAGACCCAGCUCCUGCCGCCCAGCCUUCUCUCCAGGCCCUGAACUUUCUCUGUAAGUUGAGGUAGCUGGGACUGUAGGUAUACAUGACGAUACUUGGCUAAUUUUUAAAUUGUUUUGCAGACAUGGGGUCUCACUUUGUUGGCCAGGCUGCUGUCAAACUAAUGGCCUCAAGUGACCCUUCCACCCCUGCCUCCCAUCCUCGAGGUAUGUGCCACCACAAGGAGCACUUGUUCAAUUUUCUAAAGAAAAAAUUUCUAAAGUAAGGCUGUGGGAUGAUGGCAGGAAGAUAAAAGAAAAACAGAAGAAUAAGUUAAAAUGACUUAUUCACACAUAUUCUUUUGACAGCAAGAAGAACUGUUAGUAUAUACAUUCCUUACAAACAAACAAACGGCAGAUAAACAAUGUUGUAUAGGAACUUCAACACACACUGUACAAUAUUCCCACUUUGCUGACAUAAGUUAUGGAAAUUUCGUGGUUUCCUUGAGUGUCGCUACCAGUAUUUUGCUUCUCUGAUGAUUUUUAUCAACUCCCUCAUCUGUUAACUUCUCUCCAAAGUAUGUCAUGUCACGACAUACUGCCGCUGCAUGAACACGGCCAGUGUCUUCCUAUUAAACAUGUAGAACGCUUUCCUAAUUUCUCCUUUUACUCUCUGUCUUUGUGUUCUGCAUUUUCCUUACUUUUAUUGUCAGAAACUCCAGAAAGUCAAUCGUACUAAUUUAUCACGAUUUGCUUUAUUAAUUUAUACUAUGCUUAUAUGGAAUUUUGCCCAACAGACCUCAUUACAAUUUGGGCCAGGGCCCAGGGUUAGGGUUGUUUCAGGGUCAAGGCCAGGGCCCAGGGUUAGGCUUGUUUUAGGGUCAGGGCCGGGGCCCAGGUUUAGGGUUGUUUUAGGGUCAGGGCCGGGGCUCAGGGUUAGGGUUGUUUGAGGGUCAGGGCCGGGGCCCAGGGUUAGGGUUGUUUUAGGGUCAGGCCCGGGGCCCAGGGUUAGGCUUGUUUUAGUGCCAGGGCCCAGGGUUAGGGUUGUUUUAGGGUCAGGGCCGGGGCCCAGGGUUAGGCUUGUUUUAGGUCAGGGCCAAGGCCCAGGGUUAGGGUUGUUUUAGGUCAGGGCCAGGUCCCAGGGCUAUGGUUGUUUUAGGGUCAGGGCCAGGGCCCAGGGUUAGGGUUGUUUUAGGGUCAGGGCCAGGGCCCAGGGUUAGGCUUGUUUUAGGGUCAGGGCCAGGGCUCAGGGUUAGGCUUGUUUUAGGGUCAGGGACAGGGCCCAGGGUUAGGGUUGUUUUACGGUCAGGGCCAGGGCCCAGGGUUAGGCUUGUUUUAGGGUCAGGGCCAGGGCCCAGGGUUAGGCUUGUUUUAGGUCAGGGCCAGGGCCCAGGGUUAGGCUUGUUUUAGGGUCAGGGCCAGGGCCCAGGGUUAGGCUUGUUUUUGGGUCAGGGCCAGGGCUCAGGGUUAGGCUUGUUUUAGGGUCAGGGAAAGGGCCCAGGGUUAGGGUUGUUUUACGGUCAGGGCCAGGGCCCAGGAUUAGGCUUGUUUUAGGGUCAGGGCCCUGGCCCAGGAUUAGCCUUGUUUUAGGGUUAAGGACAGGGCCCAGGUUUAGGGUUAUUUUAGGGUCAGGGCCAGGGCCCAGGGUUUGGAUUGUUUUAGGGUCAGGGCCAGGGCCCAGGGUUAGGCUUGUUUUAGGGUCAGGGCCAGGGCCCAGGGUUAGGGUUGUUUUAGGGUCAGGGCCAGGGCCCAGGGUUAGGGUUGUUUUAGGGUCAGGGCCAGGGCCCAGGGUUAGGCUUGUUUUCGAGUCAGGGCCAGGGCCCAGGGUUAAGCUUGUUUUAGGGUCAGGGCCAGGGCCCAGGGUUAGGCUUGUUUUAGGGUAAGGGCCAGGGCCCAGGGUUAGGCUUGUUUUAGGGUCAGGGCCAGGGCCCAGGGUUAGGGUUGUUUUAGGGUCAGGGCCAGGGCCCAGGGUUAGGGUUGUUUUAGGGUUAGGGCCAGGGCCCAGGGUUAGGGUUGUUUUAGGGUCAGGGCCAGGGCCCAGGGUUAGGGUUGUUAUAGGGUCAGGACCUGGGCCCACGGUUAGGCUUGUUUUAGUGCCAGGGCCAAGGGUUAGGGUGGUUUUACGGUCAGGGCCAGUGCCCAGGGUCAGGGUUGUUUUAGGUCAGGGCCAGGGUUAGGGUUAGGCUUAUUUUAGUGCCAGGUCCCAGGGUUAGGUUUGUUUUAGGGUCAGGGCCAGGGCCCAGGGUUAGGGUUGUUUUAGGUCAGGGCCAGGGUCCAGGGUUAGGGUUGUUUUAGGUCAGGGCCAGGUCCCAGGGUUAGGGUUGUUUUAGGGUCAGGGCCAGGGCCCAGGGUUAGGGUUGUUUUAGGGUCAGGGCCAGGGCCCAGGGUUUGGCUUGUUUUAGGGUCAGGGCCAGGGCCCAGGGUUUCGCUUGUUUUAGGGUCAGGGCCAGGGUGCAGGGUUAGGCUUGUUUUAGGGUCAGGGACAGGGCCCAGGGUUAGGGUUGUUUUAGGGUCAGGGCCAGGGCCCAGGGUUAGGCUUGUUUUAGGGUAAGGGCCAGGGCCCAGGGUUAGGGUUGUUUUAGGGUCAGGGCCAGGGCCCAGGGUUAGGGUUGUUUUAGGGUCAAGGCCAGGGCCCAGGGUUAGGGUUGUUUUAGGGUCAGGAGCUGGGCCCAGGGUUAGGCUUGUUUUAGUGCCAGGGCCCAGGGUUAGGGUUGUUUUUUGGGUCAGGGCCAGGGCCCAGGGUUAGGGUUGUUUUAGGUCAGGGGCAGGGCCCAGGGUUAGGGUUGUUUUAGGUCUGGGCCAGGUCCCAGGGUUAGUGUUGUUUUAGGGUCAGGGCCAGGGCCCAGGGUUAGGGUUGUUUUAGGGUCAGGGCCAGGGCCCUGGGUUAGGGUUGUUUUAGGACCUCAUAGAAAGCAUUACUAUGCGACGUAAUCAGAAAUGGCUGAGAAUAACUCAAUGAGGAAGUGAGCUGUAAAUAUAGUUAAAGGUGGAAAAGGGCAAGAUUUGGCCAAAUAAGAAAGAUAAAUUGAUGUGGGGGAAGUCGUUGUGGCAAACAUUUAUAGAAAAGUAUAUGGCACAAUGAGUUACAGUCAUCAGAUAUGACAUCAAAUAGAUUUGGGUUUCUGCUCCAGAAACUGAUUUUGGAAUGUUGGAUAAAUUACUCAGAUCUUAGUUUCUACAUCUUAGAAAGGGGAAUGAAAAGUGAAGCUUACUCUUGGGUUUAUUAUAGAGAAUUGUAAAAAGAUAUCACAAAUAAAACAUCAGGGCACUCGGUACAGGUUAAGUGCUCCAUACAUGUCAGGACUGUUACAUUUAUUUUCCCCAUUCUAAAGCACCAAGCAAAUGUUAGGGAAAUAAUACAAUUUUCAAAGUAUACAGAGAUUUUAACAUAUCACAAUUUCAGAAACAAUAUUUUUAAAGGGUAUCAGAGUCAAGCCUAAUAUUGAAAUGCUAGCAUAGUUGUAAUGGAAGUGAAGGAGAAGGUCAUCCUAGUUUUUCAUUUAGCAAUAUUAACUCUACUGCAUUAUUUCUGCCUUAUCAUAAUAAUAACUGGAAAUACUUGCACAACACACACUAUGUGCUAGACACUGUUCCAAGUAGUUUAUAUAUAUUAAGAGUAUAUAUCAGUAAGUACUAUUAUUAUACCCAUUUUAAACAAACAAACAAACAAACAAAAACAUGCUGCAGGGAGAUCAAGUAAUUUCCAGGACAGAUAAAUGUUAAGAACUGGUAGUAGAGCUUGCAUAUGAUGAUGGAUUCAGAAUCUCUACUUGGAAGCAUGACAAAAACUCUUUCAUACGAAAAUGUGGCUAACAUCAAAAGAGGUGAUGAUAAAGUGUGAUUAGAUCUACGGUGUGCACAAUGGAGCUUUGUUAUAAUAACAUGGAUAUAUGGAUUGGGAAACUUACGAUGUUUUCUUAGGUGGAACAGAGGGCACAACUAUAACAUAGUUUUAAAAAAGUUUCAAGCUCUCGAGGCAAAUUCAUAUAACAGCAAAAACACUGCAGGAGAGACUGCAGCAAAGUCAAAAACAAGGUAAGCGACCAGUUGGCAAAUGGAUUUGAAACCUAUAGACUAGAUUUUCAAAAGAUUUUGAAUAGCACGUGAAAGACUUUAGCAGCUCUGGACAAUCGAAAAAAUAAAAAUGCUGCUGCAAAAUGAUCUUGACUAUGUAAAUGGCUUUUGAGAAGCAUCAUGAAUAUUUGCUAGUGUGAAUUAUUAAAUAAUCUUAUGGUCUUACAUUUUGACUUCACUAGUUAAUCCUCACGUGGUCCUGUAUUUUCUUUCUUUCUUUUUGAGACAGUCUCGCUCUGUCUCCCAGGCUGGAGUGCAGUGGUGGGAUCUUGGCUCACUGCAAGCUCCGCCUCCCGGGUUCACGCCAUUCUCCUGCCUCAGCCUCCCCAGUAGCUGGGACUACAGGCGCCCGCCACCACGCCUGGCUAAUUUUUUUGUAUUUUUAGUAGACACGGGUUUUCACCGUGUUAGCCAGGAUGGUCUUUAUCUCCUGACCUCGUGAUCCGCCAGCCUCGGCCUUCCAAAGUGCUGGGAUUACAUGCGUGAGCCACCGCGCCUGGCCAGGCCUUUGCCAUUUUAAACACCAGAAGAAUUAAUCCAUAUAUAAAUUUUCGCAAAACUAUGACAAGAAUUGUUAAAUGCAAAUCAAGCUUACUACUAAGAAAAAAGCAACUUCUUUCGUGCCUCAACCUACAUCCAGCCUUAAAAAGUAGUGUAAGGAUCAAACUGUUCCAAAAAUACCCAACCAAACCCCAGUGAAAGAAUGUUCAAGAAUAUUUAUGGGAAUACAAAAAUAUUCAGCACCUGUCAAAGUGAGAUUCACAGUGUCUGGCAUCCAAUCAAAAAGUAAUAAGCAUGCAAAAAAGUAAGAAGAUAUCCAUAAUAAGAAGAAAACUCAAUCAAUGAAAAAUGAGCCAGAAAUAAAACAGAAUUUUCAAUCAGUGAACACCAACAUUAAAACUGUUGUUAGAAUUUAUGCCCUGUUCUCAGUCAGGUGAUGAUGGAACGUGUUGUCUUGAGACAUGGAAAAUAUUAAAAAACAAAGAAACAAACCCACAAAAAAACAAAACAAACCCAGAUUGAACAUCAAGAGUUAAAACCAUCUGAGAUUCAAAAAAUCAACAGAUGUUAUCAGGUAGAAUAGAUAUAGCAGAAGGUAACAUUAAUGAAAAUGUAGAGAUAGCAAGAUAAAGUAUUUAAAAUGAAACAUAAAAGAAAAAAGAAAGAUUUCCAAACAAAAACAAAGCAAAACUAAGAGCACAGAGAAUCAAUGAACUUUGGCACAUCUCCAAGCAGACACAAGUGUGUAAUUAAACUCACUGAAGGCAGGGAACACAAAGAGGGACAGAAAAGAAAAAAAAAGGAAACAAAUUACCUAAAAACUUCAAAAUUUACUAAAACAGUGAACUCAUAAAUACAAAAAGUUCAAUAAGUGUAAAAUGCAAAGAACAUGAAGAGCACCAUAUCACACAUGUCAAAAUCAAGGUGACUAAAUACAGCAAUGAAGAAAAAAUCUUUAAAGCAUCCCUACUAGUGGGGGUAGGAGUAAGGUUCGGUGUAGAGAGACAAAGAUAAAGGGGCCAGGUGAUGCCUCUUCAGCGAGAAUGAAACCAAGGAGAGAUUCAGCAACUUUUAGAAAGUACUGAAAUAACGAAUAACCAAAACAACCAUCAAUCCAAAUAAAUUUAUACAACAAAAAUAUUUUGCAAAAUCACAGGGUAGAGAAACAAGUUCAGACAUGUGAAAACUGAAAGCCCAUCACUAGCAGGCCCAUACCACAAGGAAUAUUAAAAUGAGUCAUUCCAGCGGAAGGUAAUAGCAUAGUAAGGAAUGCCAAGCACCAGGAAUGAUACCCGUAUGGGGAAUUAUAAAAUAUAUUUUAUUUUAAAAAUCUGUUUAAAACACUAUUAGCUGUUUAAAGCCAAAUAAUAUAUAUUUUAGGUUUCUAACAUAUGUAGAAGUGACAGAAAUGACAGCAAUACCACAGAGGCUGGGUAAGAAGAAAGGAGAGCAUAUUGCUGUAUCUUUGCUAUACAAUAGAUGAAGUGGUACAAUAUAUUAAAAAAAAAAAAAGCAGGCCGGGCACGGUGGCUCAUGCCUAUAAUCCCAGUACUUUGGGAGGCUGAGGAGGGAAGAUUAUGAGUUUAGGAGUUCAAGACCAGUCUGGCCAACAGAGCAAAAACCCAUCUCUACUAAAUAUGGAAAAAAAAAAAUUAGCUGGGUGUGGUAACUUGCACCUGUAGUCCCAGCUACUUGGGGGGUUGAGGCAGGAGAAUCACUUGAACCUGGGAGGCAGAGGGUGCAGUGAGUGGAAAUUGCACCACUGCACUUCCAGCCUGGGUGAGACAGUGAGACUCUGUCUACAAAACAAAACAAAACAAAACAAUCAAAAAAGCAGCAGUAUAACAUCACAGUCGAUUACGGUAGACUGCUAUAAAGUCUAAAGUCACCACUAAAAUAGCAAAGACAAAUGUUACAGCUAUUAGGCUAGCAUAGGAGACAAAACGAAUCACAGAAAGUACCCAAUCCAACAAAAGGAAAACAUAAAAAGAAGACAAAAAAAGAAAAUGAAUGACAAAUACGAAGCAAACUGCAAGGUGGUAAAAUUAAACACAGCCACACCAAUAAACAUAGGAAGCGUAAAUGACAAGAACCUCACAGCUGCAAGGUGGACAUCAUGACAAUGGAUGACAAAUACACCCAGUGUUAUGUUGUCUUCAAGAAAAAGUAUUUUAAAUACAAACAGACAAAUAGAUAACAGUAAAAUAAUGAGAAAAUACAAAUAGCUUUAUGUGUGCUGCUGUCUGGGCGCCUUGAGAGGGAAAUCAAUGUAGAAUAGCCAAACUGGAAUUUCAAAAGACGAAAUGCAUUUUGUAAUUCUAGGAGUGGUGGUUCCUGGGUGAAUCUACACAUUUAUUUCAGUGUUCUGAAUUACAGAUUCAAUUACCUUAAAAUAAGGUUAAUUACUAAUAGAUACUAUUGAUAUCUUGCUGAGCUGUUUGAAACGCUGGAACGCUUUAUAAAUGGUGUUUCAAACCUUACACGUCUCCAAAUGAGGCAUCAUUAUUCCAAUUUCAUACAUAAAAAUGAUGAGACACAGAGACGCUAAGCAACUCAGUUAACAGAGAUAAACCUGAAUCUGUAUAGACCUACGAUAUUUCCACCACACCAUAGUGUCCCAAUUGUGUUGAUAUAAUUGAAAUGCUUUUAAACGCAACUGUAAUGUCAGAAAGAAAUAAUUUCGGCACAGUUUAAUAUAAAAAAAAAGCUGAAUAAUUAGGAGACUGGGGUUCCUGUCUUUUCUUGCCCAUUGCUUGUCGUUGUGAUAUUAUUAGAUAUUAUAUUUUCUGGCUCACAUGUUCUCAUCUUAACAGUAAGAAAGAAGAUGAGAGUUGGGGUGGACUCAUUCAUUCUAAAAGUUGAGGAAUCUGCACAAUAACUCCUGUUUCAAAUACAAAUAACUUAUUUUCUCAUACUUCCUUAUUGCAAAUUAAAAAAUAUAAAAAUGGCAAAGGAAAAACAGAGAAAUCAUCUCUGAAAAUUAAUGCAAAAUUUAAAGAUAACACAAUGCAAUUCUGCUUACUAUUUACUUAUUAGAACCUUGUCUUAAGAAGCUAAAGGCAAUCUCAGUCUACUUUGUGUCAUUCCAAGCUCUAAAAUUCUUUACCAUAAAAGCUGCUUAACUCGAUCUAACUGGAGGGUCACAUCUCAGGGGACCAGCGACCCCUCCAGAGGGAGGAAGGAGAGUCAGGAGGAGCAGGACACUUCAUUCCAUCUGUGAUUCUACCACGGCAGAGCUCGGUCACCAGAAGGAUAAUUAAAUCCAGGUCUCAUUUUCUUCUCUUGUGCAAUGAGAAGAGACAUAGCGCACCCUGUACGUGUACCACCCUGGGCGUGUACCACCCUGGCCACCUACCACCCUGGCUGUGUACCACCCUGGCCACCUACAAUCCUGGCUGCAUACAACCCUGGAUGCAUAGCACCCUGGACACGUAUCACCCUACAUGCGUACCACCCUCGUCAUGUACCACCCUGGGCUUGUACAACCCUGGGCAUGUACCACCCAGGCCACAUAGCACCCUAGCCGUGUAGCACCCUGAAGGUGUACCACCCUGGAUGUGAACCAUCCUGGAUGAGUAGCACCCCAGGCUUGUACCAUGCUGGGGACUGCACCACCCUGGACUUUGCAGCCCUCAGGCCCAGAUUGACUUCUCCCACGAAAAGUUAAAUUUAAAAAAAUGUCCCCAUGGCAUCUGAGAGUAAUUAUAUUCAACAUCUUGUUCACGGAGGUGUUUCUACUUCCUGUGUUAUAAUUACAAUGUUAUGCCUGAAUCUUCCAGGUUUACAAAGCUGAUUUACAGGAAAGCCUUGCACCUGAGAUAUGGUGUGGGGGCCACAGACGGGGCACAGGGAGACACUGAGCAUGGCAGUCACCACCUGUGCCCUCCCAUCUGCAGCUGCCAUGCAGUGGUGGGCUGGGGCACCGGGUGGUGGGGUACUCAUCUCUGAGGAACCCACAGUGUGGGUGACAGUCGUCCCAUUAAUGAGCUGAGGAGCAGAAGUGAGAAAAAGCCUCUCAUUUCUCCCCACAUAUACUACAGGAAUUCUGUCCUUAUAGGGUUAGGCAAGUAAAAGGAACAUCAAUUGUGUAUGAUAUGAGCAGAUGAACGAUUUCAAGGACGCUGUCAUUUAAAACAGUGCUGCAUUACCGAUCAUCAAUGACAAGUGGCCACAGCAGUAGAAAUGACUGCUGAGAACGUCGGAAGGGCCACUGGUGCUGGGGUCAGAACACUGUCCCGAGUUGGGGGAAGACCAGAUCCAGGGACAUCAUGGGGCCCUGUGGGCAGCAGAUGCUGUUACAGCUCAGAAAGAGGAUGUGCAAUGCUUUAGAAUGAAAGGAACUCAAGAAUGUUCCUGCUAUUAGCUGCAACAUAGAAAAGGGGAAAUUAGCUUGAGAAGGUGGAUUGUAGUAGAAAUAAUUUUAAGUAGAGAACCUAACAGUCAAAGCAGUAAGUAACCAUAAGAUUCAAAGACUAAAAUAAAACGUGUGAAUACAAGCGAACUGUGAAACACAAACGCUAAAUUACAUCCUUUAAAGCUAUUUCCAGACAUUGUGAGACAUGGCUUCUCAGCAUCUUCAUCAUCCUCUUUUUCUUUCAGACUCUGGGCACUGAAUUAUUUUUUUUUAAAUUAGGGUUUUUAUGUCUAUGCUCGUGAACACACACAGGUAUUAUAUAUUUUCUGGAAAAAUACCUCUAAGUCAUUCAAAUCAAAGUAUAUUAGAUUCCUGUAAAGUGGAUAUAAUUCAAAAUAAUGGUUCUACAAUUGUAUUCAAAUAUAAAACUUAGGACUUAUGCAGAUUAGAUUUUAAAAUCAGUUCUUCCAAUUUAUAUAUACACAUUAUAUAACAUAUAAUAAUGUAUUCUAUAGCUGAUAUAUAUCUGAUAUAUAUGUACUAUAUAUCAUAAAUUUAUAUACACACGCAAUUUAUAUGCGUAUGUGUGCGUGUGUGUGUAGAAAAUAAUAAAAGCAUUUUAACAAUAUAAAGGUCAUGUGGAAUUAUCUUUUAUUUCUAAUUAUUGAAUUCUUGGCUGUUUCUCAGUCUAACUUCAGUUAUUUCUCUUCUUUGUCAUGGAAGUUAGCUUCUAAAAAUAGCCUCAAUGUUAUGAUUAUAAACACUUUAAUUUACUAGGCAUAGGUAUAUUACAAAUCCAUGAUUUUCAUAUUCAUUCAAACCUAAAUGUGCUUUCUGUUACUGAAUUCACAUAAACAGCUCAAGCUUCAUGAAAAGAGUCUUUCGGAAAAGAUGAAGCAUGUUUUGUGGUUGCUGUUGCCUUACACGUCAUGUAUUCAACUCUGUACAUAGUAUAACUGUGGGCUUCCAGGUAUUUUUGAUUUCUGAAGACCUACUGUUGAUUGUUGAGUCUUGAUAAUUCCAUCAUAACAAACGACAAGUGUGCAGAUAGGAUAUACACUGUGAAGGUUUAUUUCCAUUUGAUUUUAAAAGUAUGUAGAUAUUUAAAUGACCUAAUGAUUUAAACUUUUUUUUUGUUUCUCCCAUAACACACACACAUAUUGUAAUUAAUGCUCAGCCUGGGGACCAAGUGAACUAACAAUUACUGAACUCUAAGCGCUAGGCACUUCAUGUAUUAUUUCCCUGAAUUCUUGCAGGAGCCCCACAGAGAAUGUGACAAUGAGGCCAUCUAAAAAUGGGCAGAGAGAGGCUUAUUGCCAAGAGGGAAACUGAGUCCUAACUCCACCUUUGUCUCAGAACUGAUGCUCUUUUCUUUCCAGAACCCUCCCUGAUACAUUACUUAGCCCUAUAGGGUUGUGACAUAGAGGGAACAGCUGGAGUCCAAAUGAAUACAGAAUUAAAUGUGGUCUUUAAAAAUGGUCUCUAUGGCAUUGAAGCUGUGGCUUCAAUGGAAGCUGUGGCAGAAGCAGAGCAGCCUGCAACUGUUCGGUGACCCUGACCUAUCUGACCUGUGCUGGGCCAGUUGCUCUGUACUAACUCAUCUGUAUUUCCGUCCGACUCUAGUGUUCAUCAAAGUCAUCUAAGUGGUAGGCACGUGUAUUCUGGAGUGGGAGGAAGAGAGGAAGGAGAGAGACGUAAAGUGGAAUAUUCUGAACACAAAAUGAUCUUCUACCCAAAGCCCUUGGGAACGGUCCUGUUGAUGGAAUAGGAACAAUCUUGGAAGCUCAGGAAAUAUCGUGGAAAAAAUAAAUUGAAAUUGAAAUGGCAUUUUUCCCAGGGAAUUCUUAAGAAUCAUUGUAGCUAACUCAGAUUAGUGGUAGCAUGAAUGCAGGGAAGGCAACAUUGUGAUAUGUCAUUCAUUCAUUCAUUCAUUCAUUCAUUCAUUCAACAAAUAUUUAUAGAAUGCAAAUUAUGUUGAAUAUUUAUUGAAUGCAUAUUAUGCGUGGAAUAUUUUUCCAGGCACUAGGAAUGCAAUAUCGCCCUCAGUGAGUAUGUUUGGGGCAUGGAGAGAGAAGAAAGACAAUUAAAAAAAUAAAAUUUGUAAUAGGUCAGUUGAUUUUAAAUGCUAUGGAGAAAAAUAAGUCAAGAGAAAAUGAUGUUUUUUGAUAGGAAUAGGUAGGGAAUGCAAUUUUACGUUAGGUAGUCAGGAAACACCUCAAUAAAAAAGUGGCCUUGAAAAAAAUAUACGAGGUAGAGGAUCAGAUCUAAUAAUGAUAUUUACAUCACUGAGCCUUUAGUUUGAUUUUAUGUAGUAUUAUAAAUAUUAGGAUUGUUUUCCCAAAAAUAUAAUGUCAUGUUGAGUCCUUGGGCCUUGUUUCUUUUCAUCCUGAGAGCUUUAUGUCUUUGUAUGAGAGAUCAAACCCUUUUGCCCACUAAAAUGAAAUGUAGCAUUCAUUCUUUUCCAAAUAUUUUGUGCAUUCCUAAUUGAUAAGUAUUUCAGGAUAGACCCAGACUGAUUUCUGAAUACACUAGCCUAAGGUGAAAAGAACGUAUGCAGUCAGACUUUGUUUUGGUUCUUGUUGCUGUAUGGAUGUUUUCAUAUCGAAUAACCUACCGUUCUUUGUUAUUAGUCACUGAGAUUAGAAUGAAAAGUGAUACCUAUACAUUUUUACACUAAUUAUGGGCAUAAGAUUGAGCUGGUUACACAAAGAGGGGAGUCUUUCAUUUAUUCAAUAACUUAUUUUAACUAUAUUCUUAAUAACAACAGCUAACACAGACGAUGCUUCCUAGACCAAGCACUGUGUACAUAUUUCAAUUUAUGAACAUGAACUCUCCUGUUUUCCCAACAAGAUUCUGCAGUAGCUACUAUUAUCCCCAUUUUAAACAUGAACAAACCGAGGCAGAAAAGUUAAGGAACAUCCCUCAGGUUUAUAAACCAAGUAAAGGGGAGAGCCAGGAUUUGACCUGAGGUUGUGUGGCUCCAGAGUUUGUACACAAACAGCAUACACCAAACAGGUAAUUCUUAAAUAAUUUCUGGGUGUCAAUCUGACUUCCAACCAGAGGGGAGUGUGACUGGAUCAAUGUGCUUCCUUCCAGACACAUUUGUGUGCAUUUAUUAAUACAUACAUGUGUAUCUAUGGAACUAUAUAAAAUGCAAAGCUCUGUAUAUCUGUGUUACAUGAAUGUUAUUAUACAGCAUAUGUAGUCACAAGCUUUAUUCACUCAACAAUACACCUUAGAAGCCUGAGUUCAAUACAGAUAGAUCAAACUCGUUUUUAUAGCUGCUCCAUACAAAAAUAGCCUAUUUCCCAAUUUUUCCAAUUUCAAAUGCUACAAAUAUUUCUACUAUAAAUCUAUCCUAUAAAUGUGUGUGAAUUUCUCUAAGGUUGAUACAAAGAGGUGAUGUUAAUGAUCAUCUUUUCAAGACUCACCACCCAUCUCAACAACUCUCAAAACAGUCCUUUCAUGGUUAGGAAUUGCCUCCAUUUUUUUCUAUCCUGCUCUCUCUACAUUCUUUUAUUUUUACAGCUAUUCUUUCUUAUUCUUCUAUUGAACUUUAAUUGUAACAUCAAAGAGUCUAUAUUAGGUGUUGCGUAUUUCUCUAUCUAUUCUGAUACCGUAUGUAGACUUCUCCACCUUGACAUCACUGGCAUUUUGUAUGAAAUAAUUAUUUGCUGUGGAGAUUGUCUGGCUGUUAAGACAUUUUGCAACAUCUCUGGCCUCUAUCCCCUAGAUGCCAUAGCACUCCAAGCUCCUUGAGUUCUAACAAUCAAAAAUCUCUGCAGACAUUGCCAAAUGUCAUCUGGGGAGAAAAAUUACCCCCAGCUCAAAAAACUACUGCCUACAAGAUGUCACCGAGUCCCUGGCAUUCAAAUACCAUGCAUAUUUGAAUACCCUUUUUGAAUAAGAUUUGAAUCUACACUUUGGUCUCUAGUGCCAACCGCUUACCUGACUUCUAGAUUUUUAUACCCACCUACUACCUGUUCUGUCUUUUUCAUUUAGGGUUUAAUAUUUCAUUGGUCUGUAAGUUGCAUAAAAUAACAUUAUAUUUACUAAUCAACAGGCAUAGGUAUAGAUAUUUUUAUGAAUUCUUAAUAAAUUUUUAAAUUUAGACUAUUUUAAAAAUUUGUUUUAAGUUUAAAAAUAGUAGAGAAUCUCCAUAAAUGGCCACAGCCAGUUUUCCUUACUGUUAGCAUCUUAGCUUUGUAUGGAAAUUUAUUACAAUCAGUGGACCAAUAUUGAUAUGUUCUUCUUCACUAAAGUCUGAUUGAAUUAUCUUAGCUUUUACCUAAUGUUCGCUUUCUGUUUCAGGAAUCCAUUCGGGAUACCACACUGUGUUUACGUGCCAUUCCUCUUUAGGUGUCUCCUGGCUGGGGCAGCUUCUCGGACCUCCCUUGUUUUAAAGGCCUUGAUGGUUUUCAGAAGUUGCGGCCAGAUAGUCUCUGGAAUGUCCCUCCUGUGGAACUUGUCUGGUGUUUUCUCACAAUGCACCAGGUUAUGGGUUGUUGGGAAGAUCACAGAGGUAAAGAACCCUUCUCGUCGCAGCAUACCAGGAACACGCACCACCAGUGGGACUUACACUCUGGAUGUUGACCUGAUCACUUGGCUAGGGUGGUGUUUGCCAGUUUCUCCACUAUAAAGUUAUGUAUUUUUACUUCCUUGCAGCCUAUACUCUUUGGAAGGGAGGAACUAUGAGCAGCACAACUUAGGGAAUAAGAAAUGAGGCUAGUAAUACACAGAGCACCCACUAAAGUAAUUAAUCAAGAGCAGAGAUUCUACAAACUUUUUUAAUUUUUAAUUUUUUUAAAUUUUAUUUAAUUUUUGUUUUUUGCAUAUAUACAUACUUAUGGAGUACACAUUUUGAUACAGGCAUACAAUGAAUUUUAAUUGCAUCAGGGUAAAUGGGGGUAUCCAUCAUCCUGGAGGAUAAAUCUCUAAGCAUUUAUUCUUCAUGUUACAAACAAUCUAAUCAUACUACUUUAAUUAUUUCAAAAUGUACAAUUAAAUUAUUGCUUACAAGAGUCAUCCUGUGGUGCUAUCAAAUACUAGAUCUUAUUUGUUCUCUUUUUUUGGACCCAUUACCCAUCCCCACUUCCAUCCCAGCCCCAACCUCAAAAACUAUUUAGUGAGUAAAUGAAUUAAGUCACUAAACUAUAAAUGCCCUAAUUGACCAAGGGUAUAAAAUUCAGAGUCCCUGAAAAGUUGAAUUUAUCAUCUUUAUCUCAAGUGCCAAUUUUUAAAAUUUUAGAGAAGAUUCUGGAUCUGAAAGGGCAUUUCUAAUACUCCCAGAUUAAAUAUAAGCCUACCUUUACGUGAGUCUUGAAUUGACCUAUAUUCCCUUCCAUGAUAAGGUCUCACUUGUUUGGAGAAAGGCUGCAGAUGGAGGAGGAGUGACAUGCCCUACUUUUAAGGAGGAAGGAGCCAGAAAACCCACCCCAACAUGAUGCUUGAAAUCCUCUCUGGCUUUGUUUUGAAGCGCACUGCCCUGAGUUACAGCAUCUUUAUUGAAAGGGAGAACCAGGAAAAAGGAAAGAAAAGAAAAGAAAAAAGACCAGGAGUAGAAAGGAGAAAUGGCAGCACAAUCCCUGCUGGGAAUCUCUGCUGAGAGCACAGCCUCCCAGGGACUAAGCCUGUGGGAACAAUGCCAAGCUUCCUGGAUUUCUUCAACAGUUUUACAAAGCCUGCACAAAAGGUCAUGUAAGUUUUGAAGACUCAAAAAAAAGAAAAAAAAAAAAAAGAUAUGUCCAAGUAAAGCCAGACUCGGCAGCUUCUUUCAAUGUUGGCAUGAUCCCGGAGGGCUGAUCCAUCCCAGUAGCAUAAUGUAGUUAAAUCAGACCGCAAGGUUGAAAACGCUUUGGCAGAAUUCAAAGCGCCCUACACAUAUAAAUUGAAUGCACCAUUGUUGUUAUUCUGUAUUUCCGUGACCUAGCACAAAACGCAACUUCGAAUGAGCAGAGAAAAGCAACUCCAACAAUCAAGCAAACCUCUGUCAACGUCCUCAGAAGUGCUAAGUGCACAGCGGGGCUUGUAGGUUUCUGUGGGGCUCUAGAAAAGUCAGCUAAAAUGGUGAGCAGGAUACAUUUUCUGUACUGAUCAAGGCCAAUUUAUUUUCCAAAAAUCAACAGAGAAGGCAAGCAGGGAUUAAAGAAACGCAAAGAAACACCACUGCUGGUUUUGGUGGGGCUCCAAGUGUCCCAGGUGUGAUGGACACCAUACAAUACUGACAGUUUUCUUGUUUUACCAGUAAGGUUCUUGACAAUGAUGACUUACCUUCCUAUCCCCAGGAAACAGACGGUUGAAUGCCUUUGAGAACUUGAUGCAUAAAAUUUGCAUGACUCCUCACUCCUUUCUGGAUCUCUCAUUGGACUCAAGCCAGCAUGGCUCACACCACAAAGGUUAACGGCAGUGCCUCAGCUGGUGCUCAUCUCCAUAAGAUCUUCAGCCCAGAACCCAGGCAAUCAGCAGCUUCACGUGUGGCAGUGCGGGGGAGUAAAGAGAUAGAAGAAAAUGAGACAAGAUUUGCACCUGGUGCAUGGAAGAGGCGCGUGUAACUUCUGUUUACAUUUCAUUGGCUAAUUCAAGUCACGUGGUGGAACCUGGCAUUAAAGAGGCAACCUAGCGUGUGGUCAAACUAGAGUGAAGGGGUGUGGAUGCAAAAAUUAACAAAUCUUUCCAUGACUGUGGAGCAGCUCUAUCAUGACUGAGAAUUCAGCGCCAGUAGCAGCAGGGAUCUUCCUGUGUAAUGACGGGUCAUCAAAGCCAGGUAGACCUUUGUAAGAUUUUUUUACACUAAUAUUCAUACUGGAUCUUUAUAUUCUUUAGGAAAAUAGCAGAAUAACAGAAUUUUAAGGUCAACCAGAAUGAGUACAAUAAAUUUGUUUGUGGAAUAUAUUAAUAUCUAAAAAUAACUUUGCCGUAUAAAGUAAUGCCAAUGUAAUUUUUUCUUUUCGUUACUGCAUUUUAAAUCAAAACAAAUUUGGCACGUUAAGCAGUAUAGGAAACAACUUGAAUUUAGCAAAGAAACUUGUAGCCAGUUCAAGUAAGCAAAACACUGUAUCACAGCAAUCUAGCCUAAUUUAUUCUCAUUGGUUCCUCUUAUUGUCACAUAUUGUUCCAUUCAUUCCAUGAUAAAUUGUACCUCUCUGGGUCAGAAAAAAAGUAUUCAAAUAGAAAUAAUUUCAGCAAUUUUCUGAUGUCACACUCUGUUUUUUCUUCCACAUUUUGAAUUAUUUUAUUGGGACGCAUACCCCUAUGAGCUCAAGUCUUAUCACCAAAGCAGGUUGCUAACUAACUGGAGUUUCAUAUUAUGCUGUUGUCAUCAUCUUCUUAGAUGUUGUAUCUUUAAGACAGUUUCUAUUUGGCUAAUGGCAUUCUUUAUCUCCUGUAGUUUAGGCUUACCUUAAGUGAACCAAUAUUGAAUGUAUUAUCCUAUUUUCACUAUUUCCAAUAAAGACAUGGUCUCAAUCAUAGAUAUAUUAGGCUUCUUUUAGCAGAGCUAGUGCAAGUAUAAAUGUAGAAAGAGAAAAACUACUUGGCGAACAGCUUAGUGAAUUUUUGCAUUGUUUACUUGGAAAUGAAUCUUGUUUUUGGUAGCCAUUUCUCAGUAAACUUUACUAUCACACGUUUUUAUGUCCUAAUUAUUCAAUUCAAGUUUCUUUAGUUAUAAAAUCAGCAAAGAGGUCUGUUUCUAUUUAUUUUCACAUAGCUAAGACUUAUAAAAUUGUGAAUUUAGAAAUUGCUAGAUGGGAAUUAAUUUCAUCUUAUAAACCCAGCAUACUCAUUUAAUAAUAAAAUCAAGAUAAACAAUUAUAGGAUAGACGAAAAAAAUAGAAAUUGAACUAGAACAUUGAACAGAGUGCUAACUACAAGUUCUAACAUUUUUGUUUUUGUUUUACAUGUUCAAAUAUUCAUGCAUGCAUAAAGUAUUAUGUGGAAUUUAAAUAAUUUCUUUAAAAUGGAAAUAUGUUGUAUUUAAUGGACACUAAUUUGUUUUAAAACUACAGAAUGAAUCCAGGAAAGAGGUGCAUGAUUUAGUAGUUGCCUAAAUUGUACCUUCUACAGAUGUUCUGGGUUUAUUAAAAUUAGUUAUUAUUAAUUACUUGCUUAAAUAUUAGCAUAUCAAACUAAAACCAAAGGAUCAAAACUCAAAAUGUUAGGUAGAUAAAAACUCUCAUGGUUUUUUGUUCCUUCAGGGAUUUAUAAGAACUUUCAGUCUUUUGCAGUGCUAUUGUGAAACCAACAACUGGUUGUUAUUUUGAAUCUCAAAAAGGAAUUCGAAUUUGGGGUCCUAACAGGAAAUGACAUUUACCCAAAGGAAUUCAAAUAAGGAAAUAUUUGAAAAAGUAACAGGAAGAUAUAUUCAAAGCAAUAUCUUUUUCUCUUUUGGAAUAUGGAACGCAGCUAAUGAUAGGUGUAGUUGCAUUUCCUGACAUUAAUUUGGUGUUACAGGUGAGGAGCCAGUUAAGAAUGGUCUAGUCUGGGUGUUAAUUAUGCACAGAAAUCCACUGGCUUUGUUUUGAAGAUAGCUGGGAAUUUGGGAUAGGAUUAGAGGGGUUAUAAUUGCGAAGGAAAGCCCUUGCUUUGACGUCUCUGACUUAGGUAUCUAAAUAUUGCAAAAUAAUUAAAAUAGGUGUAACUUGAACAUUGGCUUUAGGCAUAGUAUGAUUUUAGAGAUGAGGAAAAGUUGUCCAUAUAUGAAUAUCUGCCAACACUUCCCCCAUCAUCUCAGUGUUAACUUUCUUUUCUGAGAAAUGAAUUCAUUCAUUCUUUCUACAACCAGAAGUGAGGAUGAUUCAUCAGUUUUAGGUGGAGUAGAGAGGAAGAUUCAGGUGAAUUUCUUUUGGACAGGUGAGAAAUUUCUAAAGCAGGGCCUCAAAUUGGAACUUGUGUAUGUUGCUGUGCAGGGAGGUGUAAGCAAGCUGGGUGGUCAGCCUGGGAAAGUCAGAUCUUUUGUUGCAUCACAAUUUAUAGCCCUGACUUUGGGAUAUGUGUAAUAAUUUCAGAAAUAUUUUCAGUCUCUUGGGCACAGUGGCUCUAAAUGAAAGCGUGAAGAAGGUAGUUACAUCAGCAUACUCCCACCUGCUUUAAAAUAUUUUCUCCUUUCCCCACUUUGGCAAAUGGCCUAAAGGUGCUGCUAGUUUCCAUGUCCCACCUGGUAUCCUGAAACUUUUCACCAGCUCUCUUUGAUCUACGUUCCUCAGUGUCUUUUGAAGCCUGCUUUAAAUCCUGGUAUUCAAUACUAAUUCAUUGACUAUGGUAUGGUCAAUACCAUACCAACGAUCUGAUAAAAUAAUACACAAUUAUAUACCAGUAGGUAAAAAUGUCUUUCUUUCUAGGAUAUUUUGCAUUUUAAUGUAGAGCACUCAUGAUUAACUUUAAAAGACCUAAUGUGGUGGAAUCUGAGGAACAAGGGUAGUCCACUUAGAGAGACGGCUGGAAAAGAGUAGGUUCCAGGAACUCCCAAAUAGUUAUUUAGUUAGCUUUCAUUUAAUGUGGGCUCUAUAUUUGGGAAUAUAAGAGAAACCAAAAUGUAAAAAUAAAAUAUUCCCGUUAUGAGGACAUUAGGAGAUGGGCAUUAGGACAGUUAACAUGCUUCAAAAAUACAGGCUUAAAUAUGCUUUGACUUAUUUUCACCACCAAUGCCAGGAGCAUUAUAUGAUGAUUGCUUCAAAAUUGUGAAUUGAAGCAAAGGCAAUGCAAAUUAUAUUUAAAGAGCUGGAUACAGGUUUUCUCAAAUAGAUGUCCCAGCUAAAAGUAGGGAUUUAGACACUUUACCUAGAACUUUGCAAUUUAUCUGUAGUUUAAGGUUUACCAGUAUUGAUAUCUAUUUUUUUCUUUUUUAACAUAUUUUAUUAUUUUUAUUUUUAUAAAAUUCAAAUUUUAUUUUAGAUAUGGGGGUACAUGUUUAGGUUUGUCACAUGGGUAUAUUGCACCCAGGUAGUGAGCAUAAUACCCAAAUAAUUUUAUCAACCCAUGUCCCCCUCUCUCCCUCCCCUCUCUAGUAAUCUGAAGUGUCUGUUGUUCCCAUGUUUCUGUCCUUGUGUGCUCCAUAUUUAGCUCCCACUUGUAAGUGAAAACAUGCCAUAUUUAGGUUUCUGUUUCUGUGAUAAUUCACUUAGGAUUAUGACCUCCAGCUCCAUUCAUGUUGCUGCAAAGGACAGGAUUUCAUUCUUUUCUAUGGCUAUGUUGUAGUUCAUAGUAUAUAUAUACUACAUUUUAAAAAUUCAGUCCACCAUUGAUGGCAUCUAGGUUGAUUCCAUGUCUUUGCUAUUGUGAUUGGCACAGAGAUGAACAUGUGAGUGCAUGUGCCUUUUGGUAUAAUAACUUCUUUUCAUUUGGGGAUAUACACAACAAUGGGAUUACUGGGUCAAAUGGUAGCUCACUCUAUACAGAUAUUAACUCAAGAUGGACUGAAGAUUUAAAUGUAAGACCUCAAACUCUUAAACUUUUAGAAGAAAGCCUCUGAAAUACCUUUCUCAGAGGCUUUCUUGGCAAAGAAUUUUUGGCUAAGUCCCCAGAAGCAAUUGCAACAAAACGAAAAAUUGACAAGUAAGACCUGAUUAAACUAAACAGCUUCUACACAGCAAAAGAAACAAACUAUUGAUAAACAGACAACCUACAGCAUGGGGAAAAAUAUGUACAAACUCUGCAUAUAACAAAGGUCUAAUAUCCAGAAUCUAUAAGGAACUCAAUUCAGCAAGCAAGAAACAAAUAAUUCCAUUAAAAAAAUAGGCAAAGGACAUGGACACACACUUCUCAAAAGAAGACACACAAGUGGCCAACAGACAUGAAAACAUACUCAUCAUCACUAAUCAUCAGAGAAAUACAAAUCAAAACUGCAAUGAGAUACUAUCUCACACCAGUCAGAAUGUCUGUUAUUAAAAAGUUAAAAAGAGAAAGAAAAGAUGCUGGUAAGGCUGUUGAGGAAAGUUCAUGCUUAUCCACUGUUGGUGGGUAUGUAAAUUAGUUCAGCCACUGUGGAAAGCAGUUUGAAGAUUUCUCAAAUUUGUUUUUCAUUCUUUAUUAAAAUUAAGAUAAUUUCAAAUCAAGUUUUAAGUCAAAAUUUAAAAUAAUUUAAACUUUAAACGUAAAACUUUUCUUCAAUUUAUUCUACACUUUAAAAUUGUGUAUCUAGUCCAUUCACUUGAGACCAUAUUGUUAAAGGAAUUAACAGUUAAAUAUUCCAGCAGGGUAGUCAAAUGUACAAUUAGAUGUUUGAGGUUUCUUCCAGAAUUUGGAUCUUGUAUAUCUCAGAAGACUAUUCAGUAGUCUACUUUGAUUCUAUUACAGCGAUGUUGUCUUCUGUUUCCUGUUCAUAAACCUGCUUGGAGGAGAGUUUCCAAUUUAUGCCAAGACUGCAAAUUAGCACAAGCUGCUUCUGCUCUCCAGCAAAUCAACCCGAGGGAAACUGGGGGGGAGAAGGAAAACUCCAUGCAGACUCAUAAAAAUGUGAGAAAUCCUUAGGAAAAAAGACAGCUACUUUGAACUGGUAUGUGGCAAGGCAGGUAGAUGGCUGCAGCUGACAGCAAAGAGCUUUUGGCUCAGCUGUUAAAGCAGAAAUUAGAAAAGAGCAGUUGAAAUAGUGUCUUGACUUCCCCUUUGCCUUCUUUUUUGUUGCAGGAUUUGGCAAUGGUUGCCCAUACCUUUGAAGGCCAAUACUUCCAAUGGCCCAUCCUUCUGUAGGGAUAAAAUCAAGGGAAUUCAAAAUCCUUGACAGGGUGGAGAAUUGAGGAAAACUAAUGGAUGAGGACUCACCAGACUUGGCUUUCUCUCUUUCAUUCAGUUUCCUCCAAACUUCCAGGGCUGAUGGAUGACAAUUUAGGCAGUCUUCCAUUUCCUUGGUGUUUGAAUGUAGAGUGUUGACUUGAAAAGUUACUUGGUGCGGUGAAACCGAAUAGGAGUGGUUAAUUCUGGUUUGUGGUAACUUGAGUUCUUCACCUGAAAGCCCAUCCCUUCAUAAACCUUUGACCUCUAAGGAUUGACCUAGAUUCCUUUUUCUGCCCCUCCCCAGUUCAUACUAACAGGCAACGUAUCUAUCUCUUCAGGGAAAAGCCAAAUUAAUAAUAUUAUUAAAUGCCAAAAUACUAAGAUAUAACUUAUUUAAAUUGAACACUUCAGAAAUAUAUCUUCCUUAAAUUAAAAAAUGUAAAUUGGGCAACAUAUCAGAAGUAUUAAAAUGGAAGAGUCAGAAUUUGAAAUAGAGAAAAUAUGCAACAAGGGAAGGAUAUUAUCAAUAGGAAACAAGAAUAAGAUGUAAUGAAAAAUAAUCAAAUAGAAACACUAGGUGCAAAGAAGUUAACAGCUGAAUAAAAAGCGUAAUAGAUUGCAUAUGAGAAUGAAUAUAGCUGAAGAAAGAAUUCAUCAUUUGUAAGGUGGGAUACCAGCACAUUCCUAGAAGGAAACAAAUAUGAUCGAACAGCUGAGAAAUAUCCACAGAAGUGCAAAUAUCCAGAUAUAGAAGUUCUAGACAGAAAAUAAUAGUAAAGGUAAUUUCUAGGAAUUAAAAUUCAAAAGUCCAUAAAAUUAAAAUAUCCCUUACAGUAUAAAACAAAAAAAAGCCUUAGGCUUUUUGCAAUGGCUUUUUUGGAUGAAGUGAUGUAGAGGUGAUAUGCAAACUUCUUAGGGUCACCAGAUAUGGAUGCUAGUUGUCCAGUAAUCCCUGUGGGGUAUACAGAUGAUACUCUGAAAGGCACUUGAAAGCAGGGUAGGGGUAAAUUUGCUAAUGGGAAAAUGUGACUGGAGACAUCUUUGGUGGUAUACAAUAAAUGCAGACUCUCUUGAAGUAAUGAGAGAUUGUUGUUCUGAUUAAGGAAAUUGUUGAAGUAGAAGUUUUGGUUCCCUCUAACUCUCUUUUCCAAAUUCUUGUCUGGUCAAUACCUAAGACAGAUGAAUCCUGGAGGUUAACAGUAUGAAGGAUUAAACAGGUUGGUAUUUCUGAUUACCUUCAUUGUAAUUGAUAUUGUAAAGGCUAUAAAGGAAGUGCCUCAGAUCAUGGGGGACGGUAUGCUAUUGUUAAGAAAAACUUUAUAGACAAAUUAAAUUUAGUAGACUUUAUUUGAGCAGAGAAUGAUUCACAAAUUGGACAGCACCCAGAACCAGGGGAGGUUCAGGGAACUUCGUCCAGCCGUGUGGCAAGCAGUUUUUAUAGACAGGAAAAGGAAGUAACAUACAGAAACAGCUUUAUUGGUUACCGUUGAGUGUUUGCCUAAUUUGCAUGUUGUGAUGAGGCAUUGGCCCUGUAUAGACAUGGUCUGAUCAGUUGGCAGCCUGUGUUCGUUUGGAGCUCAGUGGCUGUGAUUGGCUGAGACUCAACUAUUUGUUACAAAAAUAAACUCUUAGGUUGCAGUUCAUUCUUAGGGACUCAAUGUAUGAAGGUUGCUUCAGGCCAAAUUUAAUUUAAUUUAGCACUAUUUUAGCCAUUCCAAUUUGGGAAUCCAGCCAGUAACAAUUUGCAUUCUUGUAGAAAGUGAAUCAGUAUUUAUUUCAUGCAUUGAUAUGGGGAUUUUAAAAUUUACUAGCAGUUUGCCAUAUUCUCACGAAGGAUUUGGAGUUAAAAAUCACUAAUAGAAAGUCAGUUUACUACACUGACAGUAUGAGAAUUGCCUCUUCAGAGAAAGAUCAGGUUGAGCUAAAGAUGAGAGGCACCUAAAUGAAAAACAGAGGCUGGCUGAUAAAUGCUGCUAACAUUUAAGCGGGAUUUAUUAAAUUAAAUAAAAUUUAAUUUAUUUAUUCCAACCCAUGAAAUUCUGAAGGAUGUAUAUAGACAGCAGAAACCAGAGAUAGUUCUACUUUGAGAAAUAAAUUACUGGUUCUCUCAUAUACUGGAAAUAGGCAGGAAACUUAGAGACUAGCAGGGCUUUUGGGGUUUUGGUUGAAUCAUAUUUAUCUAUUAAUCCUGUUGGCCUGAACCAUAAUGUCUCCAAAAAUAAAUCCGAAUUUGAGUGGGGCUUUUGCUGAAACAAGUGUUAAAGAUACACCAAGGGUGUUGGCACAGAUAUUUUCACUGGACACUUACGAUCCAUCUACUCAGAUAAUAUUUGAAGUUGUUGUAACCAGUACAUAUGCAGAUUGCAGGAAUUUGCAGAAAUUGAAUAGGGCUAUUCAGUGAGUUCUCUUGAAGUUUGGCUAAAACUGCUGAGUUGUUUAGCAUAUAGAACUCAGGAGAGAAAAGUGAGAUUGUUACUGAGGGUUGGUUCAAACCACUCCCACUACUGAAGGGCAUCAGAAAAUUCUGAGGACAGAAAUACUGAUUGCGCCAUGGGUGAUAUCAGAGAGACAUUCAGAUAGGAGGAGUGCAGCAUAGCAAAGCUUGUUCACAAGGUAGAGACAGUAUAUUAGAAAGAUGCUAAGAGGGUAACUUCAGGGGAGCCUACAGUUUAUAUUAGCAGUUGCUUCGCUGACUAUAGAACCAGAAAUAGAGCCCACUAAGGAUACUGUGUAGUCUGGGUCUUACCAUUCUCUCCCAGUCAUGGAAAAGGUGGCUUCUUAGUCCACCGAAAGGAUCCUCUAGAGUGAGAAUACAGAAUAAGGGCCACAGGGCCGUUUUGUAAAGCCUUGAAGAAAAAAGCAAGUUCGGGUUUGCACAAGGGCAAUAGCAGUGGAAUUAGCAGAAGAAGACUUGUUAGACUUUCACAGGCGAGUGUUUGGAUAUUUACAGACCCUUGUACUUUAACGAAAGGUCCUGCUGUAUGAUCUGGGGAAAUGGGCCCUAAAUGAAUGAACAAUGAAGAACGUAUCUGCGUGGUUUCUUGUGUCGACAUAUCUGGAAGCUUACUGGAAACAUUAAAGUGAUUGACUUUAAUACCUGCCCACAAUAACAACACAAAUCCCAGGUCUUCUGACUUCUGCCUAAGAAUGUAGACAUCUAGAAGGAGUACCCAUCUGCCUUCUAGCAAGAGAAAGAUAGGUGGUCCUCAAAAUCCUAAUUUUUCUGGAAUCUAUUGGAGAGCUAAUGCUGCAGGACAACAAGUAGCCUGGAAUCUGAGGAAAGACAGGUGCCUCUGCAGACAGAUAGAGAACAAGCAUGGAUUCACCUGUGUAAGAUCACAAGAGGAAGAGAAGGCCACCAUACAAGUGAAUAAAAAGAAGUCACAGUGACUUUUAAUUAAUUUUCAAAGAUUGCUUCUCUGAUACUGUGAGAGUAUGGAACCUAUGAAGACAGCCAGUUGCAGGCUUUUCUCCAUAGACUUCACUAUGUGCUGAUGAGAAAAGUUUAUUGGCAGGGCAGGUACUAAUAUAGACUACUUUGGAGAUGCAGCAUGAAGAAGAGGUGCAUCCACUGCUGUAGGAAACACAGGAACCCAUCUUUGGUUUCUUCUCACAUAAGGAAAAAAGACUUUUAAGAUGCUGGGGAAUAGCAGAAAGCUCUUGGCCCAGUGCAAGGAGAAGAUGUCUCCAUUGUGGGUAGGGGAAGGGGGAAAAAAAAAAGAAAUACUUUAUCCAUAGGUAGGAGCAAGAAAUGUGCUCAGAAGAGCCCAGACCAGUAAAGGUCUCCUUCCAUUGAGUUUGGAAGAAGAUCACUGUGAAAAUCCAUAUUCUAAGACUCAGGGAGACAAUGACUGCUUAAAUUGAGGCUGAAUCAGGAUGACAGAGAACCUCGUCCACAACCAUAACACCUCAACCUCCAAGACAGAAGCAACAGAUUAACACUGGAGACGACUAGAGAAGUUUCCCUUUGAGGGGCAGUUGAACAGGGAAGCCCUAAUGAGUGGAGCAGAAACAUCGUGAAAACCCACCAGCAAACUAUCUCCAACCUAAGAACAAACAGGAAUUUAAAGACAGUGGUGAACAAAACUGAAUAUUGCAACAACAAAAUCCAAACUGGGCUCAACUCUUGAGUUAAAUUUACUCACCUUCCCACAAUAAUAACCUAGCAGAAGACAAAUGAUAUUUACCUAAUACAUAAAUACUACUUUUAUCAGUCUCUACCACUCUGAACACUAUGUCUGGAAAUUAAUAAAAAAAUUAACAGACACAAAAAUCAAGUUAAAAACAAAACACACAACCCUUACUGUCAAGAGACAAAGUAAUCAACUGAACAAGACUUAGAGAUGAUCCAGAUGUUGCAACAAUCAGACAGGUAAUUGAAAAUAACUAUGGUUAAUAGGUUAAAGGUUGUAACACAAAGAUGUACAACGUGCAUGGAUAAAGAUUUCAGCAGAGAAGUGAAAACGACAAGAAGGAGCCACAUGAAAGUGCCAGAAAUGAGAACCUCCAUAAGAAAUAUGAAGAAUGCCUUGGAUGGGCUCAGCAAUAGACUUGACACAGCUAAGGAAAGUGAUAGAGGAAGUGAAAGUCAGUUAAUAGUAAUUACCUAAACUGUCAAAUGAUAAAAGAGUGAAGAAAAAAGGAAACAAAACACGCAAAUGCCGUAAGAAAAUAUCAUUAGUGUGAUAUAUGUGGCAUUGAAAUCCUAGAGAAAACAGAGAGAGAAUGUGAGGCAGAUGAAAUAUUUGAAGAGAUAGUGGUUACAAAAUUUUAAAGAAUAAUUUAUCAAACUACAGAUAUAAUAACUUCAGAGAACCCAAAGUAAUUGAUUGGAUAGUAAUUGAUUGACUAGAAGUCAAUAAUGAAUUCGCAGAUGUGAACAAUAUCAUCAAAGCCUUCACCAACCAAAUCGACUUUUAUUGAACACUAAAUAUGAGCAGAAUUUACAUUAUUUUCAAGUGCAUGUAGAACAUACUGUAUAGUCUAUAUAUCAUGGUUCUGGCCAUAAUUCAAACCUCAAUACAUUUAAAAACACGUACAUAGUAUAUUCUUUGAUCAUAAUGGAAUUAAAAUAGAAAUCACAAACAGGUAUCUGGAAUAAUUGCCGAAGAUUUUUACUGAUGAACACACAUCUAAAUAUCACUUUAAGUGGCAAAAACCACAAUUAAUUUUUUACCAACCUAGUAACUUACAGGUCAAAGAGAAAAUCAGAGGGGACAUCUGAAAAUAAUUUGAAUUGAAUAAAAGAAAAUAAUCUCUCUAUCAUGCAAAAUUUGCGGGAUGCAAAUAAAGCACAAUUUAAAGAGAAAUGUAUAGCAUUUCAUGUUUAUAUGAAAAAAAGUCUUAAAUCAGUGAUUUAAAAUUCCUCCUUAAGAAACUUGAAAAAAGUAAAUUAAACCAAAGUAAGCAGCUGCAAAGUAAUAAUAAAGAACAUAAAUAAAAUUGGAAAUGGAACAGCAGAGAAAAAUCAAUGAAACCCAAAGCCUAUGAUGAGACUCACCAACAAGGAAGAAGACACAAAUUAUUAUAUCACAAAUUAAAAAGAGGACAUUGUUGCAGACCCUACAUGCAUUAUAUUCUCUAUAGAUAUAGAAAAAUAAUUUUACAAAAUUCAAUAUCCAUUCAUGAUAAACUCUAAAUUUUAGGUAGAAUGGAAUUUACCCAACAUGAUAAGAAACAGCUACAGAAAACCUACAGCAAACAUCAUACUUACUGAUAAAAGACUGAACCCUCACUCUAAGGGAAAAGAAAAAUAUUCUUACCACCCACAUUUAACAUUAUACUGCAGUUUCUAGGCAGUGUAAUAAGAAAAGAAAAAGAACUAUUCAUACAAAUAGAAAAAAAAAUAUGUGGAAUUGUUGUUAUUCACUUUCAACAUGAUUGUAUUUGAAGAAGAUUUCAAAGAAUGUACAAAACAAAGUUACGGAAGAUACAAGAUCACAAUUUAAAAAUUUAAUGGUAUUUUUAGGUACUGACAAUGAACAGUAAGAAACGGGAAUACCACCAUUGAUGGUGGAAAAAGAUGAGCUAGUUAGGUAUAAAUGUAAUAAAAUAUUUAAAAGAUGUGUAUGGUAAAAGCUACAAAACAGUGAAGAAAGAAAUCAAAAAGGCUGAAAUAAAUGGAGAGGCAUAUUAUAUUCAUGUAUUGAAAGACUCAGUAGUGUUAAGAUGCCAAAUAUGUCCAAAUUCCAAAUUGAUCAAAUCAGUAAAUACAAUCCAAAUCAAUGUCAUGGCAAUAUUUGUCAUAGAAAUGCACAAGAGAUUAUAAAAUUUAUGUGGAAUGGCAAAUGAACAAGAAUAACCAAAAUCGUUUUGCCUAGAAAAACAAACUUGACAUUCACAUGCUACCUUAUUUCAAGACUUUUUAUAAAGCUAGAGAUAGUAACUCAGUAUGGAAUUGGCCAAUGAAUAGGCAUAUAGAGUGUAACUGAAAUGAGAGUCCAGAAACAGACUCACACGUAUACAGUAAUUGACAUUUGCCAAAGUGCAGAGGCAAAUAAAUGGAACAUCAUUAUGUGCAGAGGCAAAUAAAUAGUCUUUUCAAAAAUUGUGCUGGAAUAAUUUCACAUCCGUAUGCAAUAACUUUUUUAACUUAGUAACAAACCCUAAAUCUCUUUAUCAUCUGUUUUAAGUAACAAGUAUUUUAAUUGUUUCAUCUUAUAUCCAUGGAGUUAGAAAAUAUAUGUGAUUUUUUCCAGGGAGCCAUUUCUUAUAAAUCCACAGACUCUAGGUUUCUUUACCAUAAACAAUACUAACUAGAAACAUUUUAGUCAAAAGAUUUCUGAGAUGAGGAUUUUUCUCCUAGUAAGUACCAUUAGUUUAUUUACCAUAAAGUCUCUUGUUUACACGUUUACAAUACAAUGUGACAAGAUCAUUUGCCUUCUUUCUUUCUCAAAUUGUCCUCCAGAUAUGGUAAUGAAAUGAUUGAAGAGUAGCCUCAUAGCCUCUUCCUUUCCAUAUACCUUCCAAAGCCUGUUAGAAUAUGUUCUGAGGUAAUUAUUUCAAAAGGAGUUCAUAGGAGGUCAACUAUGAGUUCUUGCUUGU